rnacentral:rRNA from 1 species
GACGGAGGAUGCAAGUGUUAUCCGGAAUCACUGGGCGUAAAGCGUCUGUAGGUUGUUUAAAAAGUCUGCAGUUAAAGGUUGAAGCUUAACUUCAAAAAUGACCGUAGAAACUUUUAAACAGAGGAUGGUAGGGUAGAGGGAAUUUCCAGUGGAGGCGGUGGAAAAUGCGUAGAGAUCGGAAAAGAACACCAACGGCGAAAGCACUCUGCUGGGCCGACACUGACACUGAGAGACGAAAGCUAGGGGAGCGAAUGGGA